rnacentral:rRNA from 1 species
GACGAACGCUGGCGGCGUGCCUAAUACAUGCCAGUCGGGCGGACCGAACGAGGGCUUGCUCUUGUUUGGUCAGCGGCGGACGGGUGAGUAACACGUGGGCAACCUGCCCGCAAGACCGGGAUAACUCCGGGAAACCGGAGCUAAUACCGGAUAACACCGAAGACCGCAUGGUCUUCGGUUGAAAGGCGGCCUUUGGGCUGUCACUUGCGGAUGGGCCCGCGGCGCAUUAGCUAGUUGGUGAGGUAACGGCUCACCAAGGCGACGAUGCGUAGCCGGCCUGAGAGGGUGACCGGCCACACUGGGACUGAGACACGGCCCAGACUCCUACGGGAGGCAGCAGUAGGGAAUCUUCCGCAAUGGGCGAAAGCCUGACGGAGCGACGCCGCGUGAGCGAAGAAGGCCUUCGGGUCGUAAAGCUCUGUUGUGAGGGACGAAGGAGCGCCGUUCGAAGAGGGCGGCGCAGUGACGGUACCUCACGAGAAAGCCCCGGCUAACUACGUG